CCUACGGGUGGCAGCAGUGAGGAAUAUUGGUCAAUGGACGAGAGUCUGAACCAGCCAAGUAGCGUGAAGGAUGACUGCCCUAUGGGUUGUAAACUUCUUUUAUAUGGGAAUAAAAUGUUCCACGUGUGGGAUUUUGUAUGUACCAUAUGAAUAAGGAUCGGCUAACUCCGUGCCAGCAGCCGCGGUAAUACGGAGGAUCCGAGCGUUAUCCGGAUUUAUUGGGUUUAAAGGGAGCGGAGGGGGUGUGUUAAGUCAGUUGUGAAAGGUCUGGGCUCAACCGUAAAAUUGCAGUUGAAACUGGCAGUGUUGAGUACAGGAGAGGUAGGCGGAAUUCGUGGUGUAGCGGUGAAAUGCUUAGAUAUCACGAAGAACUCCGAUUGCGAAGGCAGUUCACGGGACUGCAACUGACACUGAGGCUCGAAAGUGUGGGUAUCAAACAGGAUUAGAUACCCUAGUAGUC
rnacentral:rRNA from 1 species